AUGGAGGGAAAACAACAAUGGGACAUGGUGGACCCUGAAUUCAAGCUUUGCGCUCCAAUUCUGAAGAGAGCAGCAGGUAGACCAAGAAAGAGUCGAAUCAGACCUCGCAGCGAAGGAGCUGGACUUGGAGCAAGGAAGCGUAAGUGCACAAGGUGUGGUGGGUCUGGUCAUUUUGGUAAGUAUUGUGAUAACACAGUAGAUCCAGCGUUCGGAGAGAGUUUCGAUGAAGGAUUCGAUGAAAAUGUUGGUCAGCAGCCGGUUGCCUCAACAGAUGAUGAAAAUGAUGGUCAACAGCCGGUUGCAUCAGAUGAGGAUUUUAACGAGGUUCCAAACGAUGAUGGUCAACAACCGCAUGAUUUUGACGAUGAUCCAAAAUAUCCUCCAAAUAAUGAUUCAAGUGAGGCUCCAAAUGGUGAUCCAAGUGAGGCUCUAAAUGGUGAUCAUGGUGAUUCAAGUGAGGCUCCAAAUGAUGAUCCAAGUGAGGCUCCAAAUGGUGACCAACCUUCUGUUGUUGUGAGUUCUGCUAGGUAUGUAAAUCUUGCAAGGGUCAAAUACUACUGUACAUCUAUCACUUGA
rnacentral:rRNA from 1 species